GAGAAUAGUAAGCAUUGGACACAAAAUGGUUUAGGCAAAUAAUGAUGAACAAAAAUGGUCAGUCUGUGUUCCUGCUGACCCAGCACAGUGGGGACGCUGUGUAGGACAUGACCUUUGGGGGAAAGGACACAAGAACUCAGCGUGGGGGAUCCAGAAAAGAAGUCGCACGUAUUGAAGCCAGUAACGCCAAGCCAGUGAAUUCUCCUUGACGAGAAAGACCCACUUACUCUGCAGAAGAGAUAUAUGACAGCUGACAAUCCCUGGAGGAGAAUCUUUCUACUAAAUUGGCAUCUAUUCAACGAAGACGAAUCCUGGAAUGGGGAUGGAAAUGAUGGCUCAUGUCUUAGCAAACUACCAGUACGUCUACUAGAACCGGAACUGAUCCGAGAGGACAGGGAAGUCAGUGUGGGCGGCUCUAAGGAGCCUCCCUCUCUACAGCUGCGGCUCAGAGGAUUACGGCGCUUCAUCCACAAGGCAACAUUGCACAAGUAGCUUUUGAACAAAAGUCAUGGAUACUAUUAAUGAUAUGUUCCCACACACAUUUAGUGUCGUCUCAAAAUUCACGCUGUCAACUGUCUCUAGGAAUCAUUUCCAUCUGAGAACAGACCACACAAAGCCAAGGUCCUGGAUGACUGACAACCUGAGAUUGCAGACCUCCGAGAAAUUGAAGUAGGCUCUAUAAAGUCUGGGCAGCCCCGUCUUCCAAAGGCUGCUUCUCAAGUCCACACACACACUUUGGAAGGAGAAUCCUGCUCUUGGACGU
rnacentral:lncRNA from 1 species